GGAAAAGUUGUGAAGACGGGACACAGAGUGCUCUUACAUCUCACAUUCAGUUCCCCGCUAUCAAUUUCUCACAUUAGUAUGGUACUUGCAUGACAAUUCAUGAACCAAUAUUGAUACAUUAUGUUUAACUGAAGUCCAUACUUUAUUCAGAUUGUCUUCAUUUUUACUAACAUCCAUUUUUUUUUUUUUUUUUUUUUUUUGGUCCAGGAUCCAAUUCAGGACAUCACAUUGCAUUUGGUUAUCCUAUUGCUCUAGGAUCUUCUUGGCCGUGAUAGUUCUCAAACUUUCCUCCUUUUUUGAUGACCUUGAUAGAUUUCAGGAGUACCGGUCACAUACUUUGUAAAAUGUCCCUCACCUGGGUUGUCUGAUUUUUUUUUUCCCUUGUUUAGACUGGAGUAAGGAGUUUUGUUGAAGAAGAAUACAGAGAUAAAGUGCCGCUUUCAUUACAGCUUAUGGAGGAUUAACAGUCUAUUUUGGAUAUUCCUGCUGAGCAGAACAGGUAGAAGACAGGGGCCUGUUUCCAUGGAGCACUCAUCUGCCUGAAGAAGUAUGGUGUGAUGGCAGGGAUGUUUGAAUGUGGGGCAUCUGACAUUAACUUUGGUGCUGAGUCUUUCUGUGUGGAGGAAAUUAUUUCGGGGGGACCACAUUUUCUAAAUGGAAAUUAG
ensembl:lncRNA